rnacentral:rRNA from 1 species
AACGAACGCUGGCGGCGUGCUUAACACAUGCAAGUCGAACGGAAAGGCCCUGCUUUUGUGGGGUGCUCGAGUGGCGAACGGGUGAGUAACACGUGAGUAACCUGCCCUUGACUUUGGGAUAACUUCAGGAAACUGGGGCUAAUACCGGAUAGGAGCUCCUGCUGCAUGGUGGGGGUUGGAAAGUUUCGGCGGUUGGGGAUGGACUCGCGGCUUAUCAGCUUGUUGGUGGGGUAGUGGCUUACCAAGGCUUUGACGGGUAGCCGGCCUGAGAGGGUGACCGGCCACAUUGGGACUGAGAUACGGCCCAGACGCCUACGGGAGGCAGCAGUGGGGAAUAUUGCACAAUGGGCGGAAGCCUGAUGCAGAAACGCCGCGUGCGGGAUGACGGCCUUCGGGUUGUAAACCGCUUUCGCCUGUGACGAAGCGUGAGUGACGGUAAUGGGUAAAGAAGCACCGGCUAACUACGUG